AGAUUGAACGCUGGCGGCAGGCCUAACACAUGCAAGUCGAGCGGCAGCACGGGUACUUGUACCUGGUGGCGAGCGGCGGACGGGUGAGUAAUGCCUAGGAAUCUGCCUGGUAGUGGGGGAUAACGCUCGGAAACGGACGCUAAUACCGCAUACGUCCUACGGGAGAAAGCAGGGGGACCUUCGGGCCUUGCGCUAUCAGAUGAGCCUAGGUCGGAUUAGCUAGUUGGUGAGGUAAUGGCUCACCAAGGCGACGAUCCGUAACUGGUCUGAGAGGAUGAUCAGUCACACUGGAACUGAGACACGGUCCAGACUCCUACGGGAGGCAGCAGUGGGAAUAUUGGACAAUGGGCGAAAGCCUGAUCCAGCCAUGCCGCGUGUGUGAAGAAGGUCUUCGGAAUUUGUAAAAGCAACGUUUAAGUUGGAGGAAGGCAGUUACCUAAUACGUAUCUGUUUGACGUUACGACAGAAUAAGCACCGG
rnacentral:rRNA from 1 species